GAAGUGCAUUUUUUUUGGAACUGCCAUUAUAAAAUUCCUCAUUGUUAGUUAUAGUUAGAUGUGAAAUACAUCUAUUGUUCAAAAUGAAAUCUUUAUAAUACGCAAUUUAUAAUACUAAAAUAAAACAUUAUCGAGAUAGGCAAAAGAUAAGAAUAGAAAAUUCGAUUUAAGUUUUAAUUUAGUUUAAGUUAGUCCAUAUUUUUACUUUUUAUUGACUCCUUUCAAAAGAGGUAAGAUCCGGUGAAUCGGAAACAAUUAAUUAAGAAUUCAAAACUUUUUUAUGGAACAGACAUAUGAAUAUGCGUGGAUCAUACCUUUCAUUCCACUUCCAGUCCCUAUGUUAAUAGGAGCGGGACUUAUUCUUUUUCCAACGGCAACAAAAAGUUUUCGCCGUAUGUGGGCUUUUCAAAGUGUUUUAUUGUUAAGCAUAGUCAUGAUUUUUUCAAUCUACCUGUCUAUUCAGCAAAUAAAUAGCAGUUCUUUUUCACAAUAUGUAUGGUCUUGGAUCAUUAAUAAUGAUUUUUCUUUAGACUUCGGAUACUUGAUCGACCCACUUACUUCUAUUAUGUUAAUAUUAAUCACUACUGUUGGGAUUAUGGUUCUUAUUUAUAGUGAUAAUUAUAUAGCUUAUGAUCAAGGCUAUUUGAGAUUUUUUGCUUAUAUGAGUUUUUUCAGUACUUCCAUGUUGGGAUUAGUUACUAGUUCGAAUUUGAUACAAAUUUAUAUUUUUUAGGAAUUGGUUGGUCUGUGUUCCUAUCUAAUAAUACGAUUUUGGUUUACAUGACCUGUUGCGACAAAUGCUUGUCAAAAAGCCUUUGUAACUAAUCGUGUUGGGGAUUUUGGUUUAUUAUUAGGAAUUUUAGGUUUUUAUUGGAUAACGGGGAGUUUCAAAUUUAAGGAUUUAUUUGAAAUAUUCAAUAACUUGAUUUAUAAUAAUGAGGUCAAUUUUUUAUUUGUUACUUUAUGCUCAAUUCUCUUAUUUGUCGGUGCAGUUGCUAAAUCUGCCCAAUUCCCCCUUCAUGUAUGGUUAACUGAUGCCAUGGAGGGGCCUACUCCUAUUUUAGCUCUUAUACAUGUUGCAACUAUGGUAGCGGUGGGGAUUUUUCUUGUAGCUUGGCUUCUUCCUCUUUUCAAAGUUAUACCUUACAUAAUGUAUUUGAUAUCAAUUAUAGGAAUAAUAACAGUAUUAUUAGGAGCUAUGUUAGCUCUUGCUAAAAAAGACAUUAAGAGAGAUUUAUCCUAUUCUACAAUGUCUCAAUUCGGUUAUAUGAUGUUAGCUCUUGGUAUGGGGUCUUAUCGAAGCUCUUUAUUUCAUUUGAUUACUUAUGCUUAUUCCAAAGCAUUAUUAGUUUUAGGAUCCGAGUCCAAUAUUCAUUCAAUGGAAACUAUUGUUGGAUAUUCUCCAGCUAAAAGCUAGAAUUUGGGUCUUAUGGGAGGUUUAAGAAAACAUGUACCAGUUACCAAAAUCACAUUUUUAUUAGGUACACUUUCUCUUUGUGGUAUUCCACCUCUUGCUUGUUUUUGGUCCAAAGAUGAAAUUCUUAAUGAUAGUUGGUUGUAUUCGCCAACUUUCACAAUAAUAGCUUGGGCCACGGCAGGAUUAACCGCAUUUUAUAUGUUUCGGAUCUAUUUACUUACUUUUGAAGGGCAUUUAAACGUUCAUUUUCAAAAUUAUGGUGGGAAACACAAAACCCCUUUCUAUUCAAUAUCUCUAUGGGGUAAAAACGGAAUUAAGAAAAACUCUUGUUUAUUAACAAUGAAUAAUAAUGAAAGUACUUAUUUUUUUUCAAAGACUAAAUAUCCAAUUGAUAAAAAUGAAAGAAAGAUGACACGACCUUUUAUGACUAUUGCUCAUUUUGAGCAUAAAGCGGUUUAUUCCUAUCCUUAUGAAUCGGACAAUACUAUGCUAUUCCCAAUAUUUGUAUUAGGACUCUUUACUUUGUUUGUUGGAUCGAUAGGAAUUCCUUUCAACCAAGAUGGAGUUAAUUUGGAUAUAUUAUCGAAAUGGUUAGCUCCAUCUAUAAAUCUUUUGCAUCAAAAGUCGAAUAAUUCGAUGGAUUGGAAUGAAUUUUUAAAGGAUGCGGUUCUUUCAGUCAGUAUAGCUUAUUUCGGAAUAUUUAUAGCAUCCUUUUUAUAUAAACCCAUUUAUUCUUCUUUAAAAAAUUUGGAGUUAAUUAAUUUUUUUGUUAAAAAGGGUCCUAAGAGAAUUCUGUGGGACAAAAUUAUAAAUGGCAUAUAUGAUUGGUCAUAUAAUCGUGCUUACAUAGAUGCUUUUUAUACAAGAUUCUUAGUUGGUGGGAUAAGAGGCUUAGCUGAAUUUACUCAUUUUUUUGAUCGACGAGUAAUUGAUGGGAUGACUAACGGGGUUGGGGUUAUUAGUUUCAUUGUAGGAGAAGGUAUCAAAUAUAUAGGGGGCGGACGCAUCUCUUCUUAUCUCUUCUUGUAUUUAGCUUAUGUUUCCGUCUUUUUAUUAGUUUAUUACUUACUUUUUUCUACUUUUUGAUUUUUGAAUCAAAUUCAGAUAAGAAUCUUUUUUAUCAUAAAUUUCACAAUUACUAGUAUUAAUAUUUUUAUAGCCUCUCUCUGUAAGGUGAGAGUGGAAUUUAUCCUUUAUUUUGUCCUUUCCAUUCACUAGAAUUUCUUCCAUUUCAUCGAUUUUAUCUGGAUCCGACCCUUCUUCCGAAAAAAGGGAAGGAGAAGGAUAAAGAUCUUCUUCUGUGGAUCCCUCUUGAAAAAGGGGAAGAGAAGGAUAAGGAUCUUCUUCAGUGGAUCUCUCGUGAAAAAGGGAAGGAGAAGGAUAAGGAUCUUCUUCAGUGGCUCCCUCUUGUUCCUGUUUAGUCCCCUUCAUUUCGGAAGCAGUUUCUACAUCUCUUUCUUCCUCACUUUCCUCCCUUUCUUCUGUUUUUGAGGCCUCUUUCAGUUUCUUAGCUUCUUUCAGUUUCUUAGUAAGAAUGGGUGAGGGUAUUCUGCCUAAAUAGUAGACACAGGUAAUAAAUAAGAGAAUACUAAAGAUCCGAGCCAUAGAAUUUCUCAAUUCUAACACAAGGUACUUAUUAGAUCGAAUGUACUUAUUAGAUCGAAUGUACUUAUUAGAUCGAAUGUACUUAUUAGAUCGAAUGUACUUAUUAGAUCGAAUGUACUUAUUCGAUCUAAUAGAAUGAUUUUGCCGUAUCCAGACUAAUACCAAUCCAAGCCAUUUCAUGAAUAAAAUGUGACCAAUUAACCAACCAACAAAACCACUUGUUACAAAUAAGAUCUUGUUGUUGCAUCGAAAGAGAUAAAUGUUGACUAAUCUGGCUAACAUUGAACUUGGUAAAAUGAAAUGGUUGAAUAAUUGAAAAAUGAGAUUAUUCAGGAAUACAUAUUGAAUGCUGAGAUUACGCAAUGAAUUUCUGGUAGUAGAUCCAUAAUAAAAAAAGUGUUUGUGAUUGUUCCAAAAGAAAUGAAACAAAAGAUAUGGUAGAGCUAGGACUGUUAUUGUAUGAGUUCUACCCAAUGUUAGAUGCAGAGGCGCAUAAUAGAUCGAUAUAAACAUCAUGAGCUAUCCCGUAAUAAAACCAGUUGUUGCUGAUACCUUCUUCUCAGUUUCUUCUUCCAUAACCAGAGCUCGAAGAAGGAAGAGGUAAGAGGACCCUAUGGAGAAUCUGGUCAGAAAUCCAUAAUAGAGUCCGACUACAAUGACUGAAUUGAUUAUCUUCAUGCAUAAAGAUACUAGAUUACCUAGUAGAAAAGAUUGAAAAAUCAUCACAAACCUCCCUUAUUUCCUAUUCUAUUGUAAUUUCUGGAUUAUUAGAUGAUGAUUUUUUCACUUUCCAUAUAUAAAAAAGAAAUAGAAAAAGAUAAACUAGAAACGACAUCUGUUAUGUCAAUGAGACCAAAGGGAUAUUAAAUGAAUGGAAUUGAGAUAUGGAUGGAAUAUAAUGAAAUAGAGACACUUUGAGGUUCCCUCUGAAAUGAGGCAUGUAAGGGAGCCACUACAAAGAAGUUCCGAGAGUUACGAAGGAAGCUUCAAGCUCAUAUUGGUCAUGGGUUGGGAAUAGGCAUUGAACUCUAUGAGAUCGAAUCUCCUAUUAUUCCUCAGUAGCUCAGUGGUAGAGUGUCUGGCUGUUAACCAAUUAGUCGUAGUUUCAAAUCCUACUUGGGGAGAUUUGAUUGAUUCUGAAUUAAAGAAUUCAGAAUAAAGGGGCUCGCUUUGCCCGUUAAUAGUAGGUAACCCGUUCCCUGUCUUUAUUUCUAUUGCAUUCUAUCUCAUCAUACCACAUUCUGUUCUGUGAGAUUAGAAAAUCACCAUCAACACCUUUUUCUAGGUCCGAGAUAAUCCUUUGUUCCAUAGCCCUGGGGUGGGGCUAUUUACAACUAGCCAAUUAAGAAGUCUCAGAUGUACUAGAACUGCAAGAUGCAGUCAUUGAUUCUCCCGAUAGGUCACAAUUGCCGUGAGCAAAGAUAUUAAUGAUGAGGAAGGCUUUUUUGUUAUGCUAAUAAUACUUGCUCUGCUAUUCUGCCCAAGCCUAGCUGAGGAAGAGUUACGGGGCAUAAAAUAAAAAAAUAUGCCGAUCGGGCAUACUAUGUGUAAUGAUUCCCCCAUUCACGAUAAAUAAAAAGAGAAAAAGAAAAGCCAUUCCUUUUCGAUAAAAGACCCACACCCAAGUUCUAUAGCUUUUGGUUCGCUAUAUCGAUCAUGAUUUUCCUACCCCUAGAGAGAAAGGUACUUCCCUUUUGGGCCGGUUGUGGGUGAGGAGGGAUUCGAACCCCCGACACCGUGGUUCAUAGCCACGUGCUCUAAUCCUUUGAGCUAUAGGACCCACCCCGUCUCCACUGGAUAUGUUCCUUGGAGUACCCUAAAAAAAGGAACCUUUUCUCUCUCCAGCCAUUUCGGGUUAAGAUGAUGUGAAAGUGCAUUUAUCUCUAUAAGAAGGGUGCGCUCUGAGGUGUGAAGUGGGAGAGAAGGGAUGUCACAAUUAGGGUUUUGAAUAAAAUGACCUUUUGAUUUUUCAUUUUUUUUCAUUUUCAUAUUGAAUAAGAAUGAGAGGUGUUAAGAUUUUUAUCAUCCUGGAGUCCAGCUAUUUUUUUGUAGGACCUCCCCUACAAUAUCAUCACCGCAGUAGAGUUUAACCACCAAGUUCGGGAUAGAUUUGUGUGGUUCCUAUACGCCUAGGAAACCAGAAUAUUAAACCAUGAAUGAAGAAAGAAAUGAGAGAAAAGCAUAUUGGCUAGUGAUUGUGAGGCCCCAAUUCUUGACUGGAGGGGACACCAAAGGCCUCUGCUCUUCCAUCCCUUGGAUAGAUAAAGAGAGGGGCAGAGCUUUUGGUUUUUUCAUGUUGUCAAGGAUUUGAACAAUGAAAAUAGAUGGCGAGUGCUUGAUCGAAUUGAUUAGGUAAUGUAGGAACAAGGUUCAAGUCUAUUGGUAUGUUAGGAUGCCUCAGCUGCAUACAUCACUGCACUUCCACUUGACACCUAGCGUAAUGAUAAAUGACUCGUCUCGCCGUGACCUUUUCUUGAAUUCUCAAAAAAACUUCUGUCGCUCCAUCCCCGCAGGGGCAGAGAACCCGUCGCUGUCUCGGCUGUGCUAUCGGAAUCUCUGGGGAAGUCGGAAUAGGAGAGCACUCAUCUUGGGGUGGGCUUACUACUUAGAUACUUUCAAAAGUUAUCCGCUCCGUACUUUGCUACCCAGCGUUUAUCGUGGGCACGAUAACUGGUACACCAGAGGUGCAUCCUUCCUGGUCCUCUCAUACUAGGAAAAGGUCCUCUCAAUUCUCUAACGCCUACACUGGAUAUGGACCGAAAUGUCUCACGAUGUUCUGAACCCAGCUCAUGUACUGCUUUAAUAGGCAAACAACCCAACCCUUGGAACAUACUACAGCCCCAGGUGGUGAAAAGCCGACAUCGAGGUGCCAAACCUUACCGUCAAUGUGAGCUCUUGGGGAAGAUCAGCCUGUUAUCCCUAGAGUAACUUUUAUCCAUUGAGCGACGGCCCUUCCACUCGGCACAGUCAGAUUACUAAGGCCGACUUUCGGCCCUGCUCGGUAGGUGGGUCUUGCAGUCAAGCUCCCUUUUGCCUUUGCACUUGAGGGCCAAUCUCCGUCCAGCCCGAGGAAACCUUUGCAUACCUCCGUUACCUUUUGUAAGGCCUAUGCCCCAUAGAAACUGUCUACCUUAGACCGUCCCUUGGCCCGUAGGUCCUGACACAAGGUUAGAAUUCUAUCCCUUCCAGAGUGGUAUAUCACUGAUGGCUUGGGCCCCCCGGAAGAAGGUAUUCUUCGCCUUCCACCUAAGCUGCACAGGAAAGGCCCAAAGCUAAUCCCAGGGAAUAGUGAAGAUUCAUAGGUUCUUUCUGUCGAGGUGCAGGUAGUCCGUAUCUUCACAGACAUGUCUAUUUCACCGAGCCUCUCUCCGAGAUAGUACCCAGAUCGUUAUGCCUUUACUACGGGUUAGAACUUACCCGACAAGGAAUUUUGCUACCUUAGGACCAUUAUAGUUAUGGCCGCCAUUCAUCGGGGCUUUGGUUGCCGGCUUCCCUGUAAUCAGGUUACCAACUUUCUUGAUCUUCCGGCACUGGGCAGGCGUCAGCCCCCAUACAUGGUCUUACGACUUUGCGAAGACCUGUGUUUUUGGUAAACAGUCGCCCAGGCCUGGUCACUACGACCCUCUUUGUGAUUUGAAGAGGCACCCCUUCUCCCAAAGUUAUGGGUCUAUUUUGCCGAGUUCCUUAGAGAGAGUUGUCUUACGCCCCUAAGUAUUCUCUACCUACCCACCUGUGUCGAUUUCGGGUACAGGUACCCUCUUGCCAAAGUCGUUCAAGAUUUUCCUGGGAGUAUCGCAUGGGUUACUUUAGUUCCGUAGCGCCUGGUAUUCGAACAUUGGCUCGAGGCAUUUUCUCUACCCCUUCUUACCCUAAAAAAGAGCAGGGACACCUUACGUUCUUGAACCGAUAACCAUCUUUCAGCUAACCUAGCCUCCUCCGUCCCUCAGGAUCAACAAGGGGUAGUACAGGAAUAUUCACCUGUUGUCCAUCAACUACGCCUUUUGGUCUGAUCUUAGGCCCUGACUCACCCUCCGAGGAUGAACUUUGCAGAGAAACCCUUAGGUUUUUAGGGCAUUGGAUUCUCACUAAUGUUUGUAUUACUCAAGCCAACAUUCUCACUUCUGUUUUGUCCACCACCCCUCAUGCGGAGGCUUCUCUCUAAGGUGGAACACUCCCCUACCGAUGUAUUUUUACACCUCACAGCUUCGGCAGAUCGCUUAGCCUUAUUCAUCUUCAGUGCAAGAGCGCUCGACCAGUAUGGCUGCUUUUAGGUAAACCUCUUGGCUGUCUCCGCACCCCUACCUCUUUUAUCACUGAGUGGCCAUUUAGGGGCCUUAGCUGGUGAUCUGGGCUAUUUCUCUCUCAAUGAUGAACUUUAUCCCCCAUCGUCUCACUAGCCAACUUUGACCCUUCUUUUUUAAUUUUAAUGCCAUACCUAGUAUUUAGAGUUUGCCUCGAUUUGGUACCGCUCUCACUGA
rnacentral:lncRNA from 1 species